AGUAGAUCCAACAGCCAUUUAAACUAAACAGUAUCUAAACACAGUGAGCUGCAAGAGCACAUCAAUGAAGAUGAUUGGAACUGAAGAUCAAUUUCUGAUAUCGCGGGGUGGGUAUAAUUUACCUAUAGAUAAGCAGGACUUCGCUUACACCUGUCACUGCAGCGAUAUAGAAAGACACUGCACUUACAUCCCAGACAGCGGAGACCAACUCUAUGGCACAACUGCAGACAAUCCAGCUCCAGUGCCCCAUCAAUGGCUGUCUGCAAGCGUCGGCCACCUGCUGCCAAGCUACUGCCCCACAGGUGACCUUGAUGACUGUGCAUCGUUCCGUCCAGACCACAUUCGGGGCAAGCCAGACUAAUAGCUGAUGCCACUCUCCCAACUAGACCCAAGAAGAAGCUCCAAGUUAAGGCUCCUCUGAGCUCUGGCUUUUGUCUCCCUGCGGCUCCGGGCACCCAUCCUCUCGCAGUGAGUGAUUGAGUAAGGAGCUGUGAGACGGGAUGGGGCCAGCUUCCAUCAACCCUCCUCCGGGCUCCAGAGUUCCAGGCGUGGCCGUCUGCAUGAUCUUCUGACGGACCUCGCGGAUCUUCAGCUGCAGGCACACCUUGGUGGGAAAUGUGUCUGAGUAGCGCGCCUGGAAGGCGGCUGUAGCCUGAGCUGGAGAAACGGGAAGAGAUUGGCUGAGUGUUUUCUAUGUGCUGUGAAUGACAGUAGACUGACGAUGUGUGUGAUGUCCAGAUAUGACUUCUUUUGAAACAAUUCACCAGCCUUACUGAUUGAAAAUCAAAAGAUUACUAACC